rnacentral:rRNA from 1 species
UACAGAGGUCCCGAGCGUUGUUCGGAUUCAUUGGGCGUAAAGGGUGCGUAGGCGGCGGGGAAAGUCUGAUGUGAAAUCCUGGGGCUCAACCCUGGAACUGCACUGGAUACUUCCUUGCUAGAGUACUGGAGAGGAAACUGGAAUUUACGGUGUAGCAGUGAAAUGCGUAGAGAUCGUAAGGAAGACCAGUGGCGAAGGCGAGUUUCUGGACAGUUACUGACGCUGAGGCACGAAGGCCAGGGGAGCAAACGGG